AACGUCGGUUAAUACCACAUAUACACGGUGCCAAAUCCCAGAAGACUGCUUUCUUUAUACUGCUGGACAUCAAAUUUUCUAAAUCAGGUUUCCACAUUUCAUCAAAAACUUUCACUUAAUACAGAGGGCUUCAUGUGAAUAUCCCUACAGUACACGUUUAUGCUCUUUUAACAAAAGUGUUAAAAUGUGCCACGCACUUCCAGAACAUGCCACCAGCUGACAGGGUGAUUUUCCAGUUACUGGCCAAAAUUAAUUACAUAAAUUUAAAUAACACUGGCGUAGAACUCUCACCGCAGUACACAACACACAACGCACAGGAACAAUCCAACUACAAGCCAAUACAACCUCAAGACAUCUCCCAACAUCGGGAUAAAUUAAGAAGCAGCCUAACAUUUUUAUAUUUUACUUCAAAAGUCUUAAACUUUUAAAUAUUUUUUAAAUAUUUUAAUAGUGAUGUUUUAACGCGAGGGCAACUUCGGAUUGAAUGCGAAGGU